GGAGGGUAUAGCUCAGUGGCAGAGUGCCUGCUUAGCAUGCACGAGGUCCUGGGUUCAAUCCCCAGUACCUCCA
rnacentral:tRNA from 1 species